AGGCAGACAGGCUGGAAGGCAGCUGAGAUAUUUUGUGGCCACCCCACAGGGUCACAGUGCUCCCUGGAACCCCAUACUUACUCUGAAGACAGCACCCCACCAUGUACCCCUUCCUUCUGCCAUGGCCACAUGAGCCUGCAAGAGCUGCCAGGCUGACAUGGGGCUUUCUGGCCACAGUGACUGAUCCAGGGAUGGGAAGAGAUGUAGCCUUGGCGUUGGAAGUUUUCAAGUCUUGGGUAUGUCUGCAUGCACAGUAUUGGCAGCGUGAAAAUGGACUUCAAAGGAGGAAUGUGUCACUAUGAGCUCUCUGCCAUGUGAGGGCGCCAUCCCACAAGGGAAGGAGAGGAGAGCUGGCUGGACAGCAGCACUCAUGUACAGAAUGCCAGUGGUCCCGUGGUACAGGCUGUCAUGGAAAUGCAGAGCAGAGCCACAUAUGGCCAUGUCACUCAGGCUCACGGCAGAAGAGACUUCCCUUGUCUUAGAUGAGACUUCAGACUUGGACUUUUGGGUUAAUGCUAGAAUAAGUUAAACUUUGGGAGACUGUUGGGAAGGCAUGAUUGAGUUUUUAAAUGUGAGAAGGCCAUGAGAUUUGGGAGGGGCUGGGGGUGUAAUGAUAUGGUUUGGCUCUUUUUCCCCACCCAAAUCUCUUCUCUAAUUGUAAUCCACAUGUAUCAAGGGAGGGACCUGGUGGGAGGUGAUUGAAUCAUGAGGCAGUUUCCCCUAUACUGUUCUCAUGAUAGUGAAUGAGUUCUUAUGGGAUCUGAUUGUUUAAAAAUAUAGCACUUUCACCUCCCACCUCUCUCCUGUUGCCAUGUAAGGCGUGCCUUGCUUUCCCUUCACCUUCCACCAUGAUUGUAAGUUUCCUGAGGCCUCCCUAACCAUGAGGAACUAUGAGUCAAUUAAACCUCUUUUCUUUAUAAUUUACCCAGUCUCAGCUCGUUC
rnacentral:lncRNA from 1 species